rnacentral:rRNA from 1 species
AACGAACACUGGCGGCAGGCUUAACACAUGCAAGUCGAACGCCCCGCAAGGGGAGUGGCAGACGGGUGAGUAACGCGUGGGAACGUACCUUUCAGUUCGGAAUAACUCAGGGAAACUUGUGCUAAUACCGGAUACGCCCGCAAGGGGAAAGAUUUAUCGCUGAAAGAUCGGCCCGCGUUGGAUUAGCUAGUUGGUGGGGUAAAGGCCUACCAAGGCGACGAUCCAUAGCUGGUCUGAGAGGACGAUCAGCCACACUGGGACUGAGACACGGCCCAGACUCCUACGGGAGGCAGCAGUGGGGAAUCUUGCGCAAUGGGCGAAAGCCUGACGCAGCAACGCCGCGUGGGGGAUGAAGGCUCUCGGGUUGUAAACCCCUUUCAGCAGGGACGAAAUCAGACGGUACCUGCAGAAGAAGCUCCGGCUAACUACGUGCCAGCAGCCGCGGUAAAGUACAGUGU